AACGAACGCUGGCGGCAUGCCUAACACAUGCAAGUCGAACGAAGCCUUCGGGCUUAGUGGCGCACGGGUGCGUAACGCGUGGGAACCUGCCUUUUGGUUCGGAAUAACUCCCCGAAAGGGGUGCUAAUACCGAAUAAUGUCUUCGGACCAAAGAUUUAUCGCCUUUAGAUGGGCCCGCGUUGGAUUAGCUAGUUGGUGGG
rnacentral:rRNA from 1 species